UCGGUAUGUACUGGCUUUACUGAUUCCUCCUUCUUGACGAACCGUGAUGUCAUUAAUUUGGUGUUGCGGGAAAUCAGGACUGUUACUUUGAAAAAAUUAGAGUGUUUAAAGCAGGCUAACGCUUGAAUACAUUAGCAUGGAAUAAUGAAAUAGGACGUUAAUCCUAUUUUGUUGGUUUCUAGGAUCGACGUAAUGAUUAAUAGGGAUAGUUGGGGGCAUUAGUAUUCAAUUGUCAGAGGUGAAAUUCUUGGAUUUAUUGAAGACUAACUACUGCGAAAGCAUUUGCCAAGGAUGUUUUCAUUAACCAAGAACGAAAGUUAGGGGAUCGAAGACGAUCAGAUACCGUCGUAGUCUUAACCAUAAACUAUGCCGACUAGGGAUCGGAUGAUGUUAUUUUUAAUGACUCAUUCGGCGCCUUACG
rnacentral:rRNA from 1 species